rnacentral:rRNA from 1 species
AGCGAACGCUGGCGGCAGGCUUAACACAUGCAAGUCGAGCGGGCAUCCUUGUGGUGUCAGCGGCAGACGGGUGAGUAACGCGUGGGAACGUGCCCUUCGGUUCGGAAUAACUCAGGGAAACUUGAGCUAAUACCGGAUACGCCCUUUUGGGGAAAGGUUUACUGCCGAAGGAUCGGCCCGCGUCUGAUUAGCUAGUUGGUGAGGUUAUGGCUCACCAAGGCGACGAUCAGUAGCUGGUCUGAGAGGAUGAUCAGCCACACUGGGACUGAGACACGGCCCAGACUCCUACGGGAGGCAGCAGUGGGGAAUAUUGGACAAUGGGGGCAACCCUGAUCCAGCCAUGCCGCGUGAGUGAUAACGGCCUUAGGGUUGUAAAGCUCUUUUCUCCGGGACGAUAAUGACGGUACCGGAGGAAUAAGCCCCGGCUAACUUCGUG